GGGGGGGGGGGUAGACUUGCUUGCAAGGUUGUGUAAAAUGUUUGUACAAAAUUCUGUGAAGUAGUAUUUUCCAGGGUCUUAAGUGUAUAUAGUUUGUUUGUCGAUUUAUAAACACAAAUACCCAUGCAAAUUAAAGUUUUAAAAAGUAUAACUAGUUUUGUAAUUGUUGAGUAGCUUUUACAUUAUUCAUUGUCAAUUUACAUUUUUUUUUUUUAUUCUUUGCAUUUAAAAACAGUAAAAGAAUUUUUUUUUUACUCUUUGUUGGUAACUAAGUAUUUUGUCAUUUAUCUUAAAACUCUUUUUUCUAAUAAUCAAGAACUCUUAUAAUUUAUUAAAACUGUUGCGUUUGCAACACUUUAUGUAAAAAUAAUGGAAUAGAUUUGAAUUUUUAUUGUAUCAUACUAGUGCAAUUAAAAAUGAUCUUGUGUUUUGAAAAAGAUUAGCUUGUUGAAAAAUGAAGCAAAUUACUUUAUGCAUGUAAAUGAAAGAUACUGUUAUGAUAAUUUUUUUUUUAUUUAAAAACUUUGUAAACUUGUUAUUCAAGUUAAGUUUCAUUUGGUACUGAAUUUCAUCUUACCAACUUGUCAUCUUAAAUUCCAACCAGUUCAAGGUCAACACCUUACUGUGCUCUUAAUCUAGGAUUGGCAUACUACAGGAAACCCAUUUAGUCUUCUGAGUGUAUCUAUAAACUUAAUGUUUAAUUGACUUGUACCAUCACGGAACAUUCAGCGUACUAACUUUUCAGGAACAAAAAAGGCACAGUAAAAUGAAAGAUUUUUUUUGACAAGGUUUAAUGCAGCUAUAUUUGUCUUCCACUAAGUCUAGCAUUUAUUUGUUCCACUUCUCUGUCUCGCUGAAUGAAUGAACAUUUUUAACAUUGAUAUGAAGUUCAGAUGAAACAUUCAAACUUUAUAAAUAUUGAACUCACUAAGACAAACAACUGGGAAUAUCAAUAUGCAUCCUUCAGUACUAUUAUAUUUUAAAUUUAAAGUCCCUGUCGGUGUGAGUAUAGUUUUAAAUAUUGGAUUUAAUUAUUUAUAAACUAUGUUAUGUCUGACUAAAGAAGUCGCAAAUAAACUAGUUAUGUAGGGUGUUCUCGGUCAUGUUUUUUUAAAAAGUUUUCUAUCUACAUUCUUCCAUCUUCAGCAUGAGCAAAAGGAAAUCCACAUUUGCUCUCGUCAACCUCAUCUCAUGAAAUAAAAAAUUUUUAUACAACUUUUCAAA